GACGAACGCUGGCGGCGUGCCUAACACAUGCAAGUCAAAGGAAAGCAACUUCGGUUGUAAGUACUUGGCGCAAGGGUGAGUAAUGUAUAGGUAAUCUGCCCUUAGGACUGGCAUAACCUCGAGAAAUCGAGGACAAUACCAGAUGAUGCAGCGGGACCGCAUGGUCAUGUUGUUAAAGAUUUAUCGCCUAAGGAUGAACCUAUAUCCCAUCAGGUAGUUGGCAGGAUAAUAGCCUACCAAGCCUACGACGGGUAGCUGGUCUGAGAGGAUGAUCAGCCACAUUGGAGCUGAGACACGGUCCAGACUCCUACGGGAGGCAGCAGUGAGGAAUAUUGCGCAAUGGGCGAAAGCCUGACGCAGCAACGCCGCGUGGAUGAUGAAGUUCUUCGGAAUGUAAAGUCCUUUUGUAGAGGAAGAACAUGUCGGUUUACCGGCACUGACGGUACUCUGCGAAUAAGCCACGGCUAACUCUGU
rnacentral:rRNA from 1 species